rnacentral:rRNA from 1 species
CACAUGCAAGUCGAACGGUAACAGGUCUUCGGAUGCUGACGAGUGGCGAACGGGUGAGUAAUACAUCGGAACGUGCCCGAUCGUGGGGGAUAACGAGGCGAAAGCUUUGCUAAUACCGCAUACGAUCUACGGAUGAAAGCGGGGGAUCUUCGGACCUCGCGCGGACGGAGCGGCCGAUGGCAGAUUAGGUAGUUGGUGGGAUAAAAGCUUACCAAGCCGACGAUCUGUAGCUGGUCUGAGAGGAUGAUCAGCCACACUGGGACUGAGACACGGCCCAGACUCCUACGGGAGGCAGCAGUGGGGAAUUUUGGACAAUGGGCGAAAGCCUGAUCCAGCCAUGCCGCGUGCAGGAUGAAGGCCUUCGGGUUGUAAACUGCUUUUGUACGGAACGAAAAGCCUCUUUCUAAUAAAGAGGGGUCAUGACGGUACCGUAAGAAUAAGCACCGGCUAACUACGUGCCAGCAGCCGCGGUAAUACGUAGGGUGCAAGCGUUAAUCGGAAUUACUGGGCGUAAAGCGUGCGCAGGCGGUUUUGUAAGACAGAGGUGAAAUCCCCGGGCUCAACCUGGGAACUGCCUUUGUGACUGCAAGGCUGGAGUGCGGCAGAGGGGGAUGGAAUUCCGCGUGUAGCAGUGAAAUGCGUAGAUAUGCGGAGGAACACCGAUGGCGAAGGC